CCACCAAAUUCAGCACAUGGGAUGUGCGUCAAAUCGGCUAGGCCCAGAGCUACCACGAGAUUUCACCCAUUAUCGCACACCACCAGGCUGGGCUUGAGGCUCAGUGGUGUGGGGUUUUUCCCCCAAACAUAUGAGUUUUAAAACAGCCUGCUGUCGUUUCCCCCUGGCUGUGCUGAAGUUGGUGGUGAAGGUGUUACGCUGACCAGAU